GAUGAACGCUGGCGGCGUGCCUAAUACAUGCAAGUCGAGCGAACAGAUGAGGAGCUUGCUCCUCUGACGUUAGCGGCGGACGGGUGAGUAACACGUGGAUAACCUACCUAUAAGACUGGGAUAACUUCGGGAAACCGGAGCUAAUACCGGAUAAUAUAUUGAACCGCAUGGUUCAAUAGUGAAAGACGGUUUUGCUGUCACUUAUAGAUGGAUCCGCGCUGCAUUAGCUAGUUGGUAAGGUAACGGCUUACCAAGGCAACGAUGCGUAGCCGACCUGAGAGGGUGAUCGGCCACACUGGAACGGAGACACGGUCCAGACUCCUACGGGAGGCAGCAGUAGGGAAUCUUCCGCAAUGGGCGAAAGCAUGACGGAGCAACGCCGCGUGAGUGAUGAAGGUCUUCGGAUCGUAAAACUCUGUUAUUAGGGAAAAACAAAUGUGUAAGUAACUAUGCACGUCUUGACGGUACCUAAUCAGAAAGCCACGGCUAACUACGUG
rnacentral:rRNA from 1 species